UACGUAGGGUGCAAGCGUUAAUCGGAAUUACUGGGCGUAAAGCGUGCGCAGGCGGUGAUGUAAGACAGAUGUGAAAUCCCCGGGCUCAACCUGGGAACUGCACUUGUGACUGCACAGCUGGAGUACGGCAGAGGGGGAUGGAAUUCCGCGUGUAGCAGUGAAAUGCGUAGAUAUGCGGAGGAACACCGAUGGCGAAGGCAGUCCCCUGGGCCUGUACUGACGCUCAUGCACGAAAGCGUGGGGAGCAAACAGG
rnacentral:rRNA from 1 species